GGGCACUUGGCACAGUGGUAGCGCGCACGCUUCGCAUCUAACUCGUAAAUGGGGUUGCGUGAGGUCGAGAGUUCAAUCCUCUCAGUGUCCA
rfam:Phlebia centrifuga strain FBCC195 PHLCENscaffold_2449, whole genome shotgun sequence.